GAUGAACGCUGGCGGCGUGCCUAAUACAUGCAAGUCGAGCGAACGGACGAGAAGCUUGCUUCUCUGAUGUUAGCGGCGGACGGGUGAGUAACACGUGGAUAACCUACCUAUAAGACUGGGAUAACUUCGGGAAACCGGAGCUAAUACCGGAUAAUAUUUUGAACCGCAUGGUUCAAAAGUGAAAGACGGUCUUGCUGUCACUUAUAGAUGGAUCCGCGCUGCAUUAGCUAGUUGGUAAGGUAACGGCUUACCAAGGCAACGAUGCAUAGCCGACCUGAGAGGGUGAUCCGCCACACUGGAACUGAGACACGGUACAGACUCCUAAGGGAGGCAGCAGUAGGGAAUCUUUCGCAAUGGGCGAAAGCCUGACGGAGCAAAGCCGCGUGAGGGAUGAAGGUCUUCGGAUCGUAAAACUCUGUUAUUAGGGAAGAAAAUAUGUGUAAGUAACUGUGCACAUCUUGACGGUACCUAAUCAGAAAGCCACGGCUAACUACGUG
rnacentral:rRNA from 1 species